UACGAAGGGGGCUAGCGUUGUUCGGAAUUACUGGGCGUAAAGCGCGCGCAGGCGGCUAUCCAAGUCAGUGGUGAAAGCCCGGAGCUCAACUCCGGAACUGCCAUUGAAACUGUUUAGCUUGAGGACGAGAGAGGUGAGUGGAAUUCCCAGUGUAGAGGUGAAAUUCGUAGAUAUUGGGAGGAACACCGGUGGCGAAGGCGGCUCACUGGCUCAUUACUGACGCUCAGGCGCGAUAGCGUGGGGAUCAAACAGG
rnacentral:rRNA from 1 species